CAGGGAGACAACAAAAUGUUUAAUAUUAUUUUGUCACCUUAGGUCGAUCGGUAUCUCACGUUCUUAAUUAAUUAAGAAUUUCAUUCCCUAAGUUUUUCUAGGUCACACCCAUUAUUUUCCCUGGGCCAUUAGCUCAGGUGGUUAGAGCGCACCCCUGAUAAGGGUGAGGUCCCUGGUUCAAGUCCAGGAUGGCCCAUAUCUCUAUGUUGGGGGUAUAGCUCAGUUGGUAGAGCGCCUGCUUUGCAAGCAGGAUGUCAGCGGUUCGAGUCCGCUUACCUCCACUGAUUACCACCUCUGCCAUAAUUUUUAAAGGGAUUAUUUUGAGUAGUGAUCAAAUUCUGAACGAAUCUAGCUUCCUAAUGAAAUCAUUAAGAUGCUGGACUCAUUGAAUUAAUUUCAUUGUUUUCAGAGAACCUUGACAACUGCAUAGAUUAUUUUUAAAGACAAUAAGCAUCUUUAAUGAUGCAGAUUUAUUAUUUGUGCAAAUGCAUUAAUAACAAUUCUAUUAAGCUGAUGCUUCAAUUUUGAAGUUAUUG
rnacentral:tRNA from 1 species